rnacentral:lncRNA from 1 species
CUCAUAUCUAUUUAAGCAUUUUUUCAUGCAUCAUAUAUGAAAGCAUUUAUCACGUAUAAACUCUAUUUUAGUACUAUUAUUUUAUUUCAAAAAAAUGUUGAAUCUUACAAUGUCAUCCAUCCUAAGCAAGAACCAACUAGUAGGAGAUAAUUACAUUGACUGGAAACGUAACUUAUUGAUUGUUCUCACCACUGAAGAAGCAUAAAUUUGUGUUAACGGAAUCCUAUCUUAAAGAGCCAAUUGUGAAGUUUACAAUUGAAUAGAAGACUGCAUAUGAGAAGUGGGUUCAAUAUGAUUAAAUGACCCCUUCUAUGUCAAAUGUGUUGCAACAGAAAUAUCGGAACAUGAACACUAUACCUCAGAUUAUGACAAGUCUUCAGGACAUGUUUGGUCAUCAAGGUCGUCAAGCUAUUGCCUACCAUUGGGUCUAUCAUGAACAUACGCACGAAACCAGGGUCGCCCGUGAGAGAUCAUAUGCUUGCAUUGAUCACUCAGUUUAAUGUGGUUAAGGUUUUAGGGGCUGAAAUCAAAUCGAAAAUGUAGGUUGACAUGGCUUUAAAGACUCUCCCAGAGAUGUUUUCCAGUUCAAGAUUAGUUAUAACAUAAAAAGCUUAACGUGUCACUGACCAAGCUAAUGAAGGAGCUCUAAAAUUUUGAGGCUGUUCUAAAGGCUAAGAAUGGUGAAGCUCAUACUGUUUCUUCUAUCAGCCAUUAUCUUCCAAGCCAAAAGGCAAAAGAGGCAAUGAGAGGUAGAAGUCAAACAAGAAGGGCUAUAGCAAUAAGCUAAGAAAGCAAAGAAGGAUGGACAAUCCAUGGAGAAGUGCUACUGUGGACGAAAGGGUCACUAGAAGAGAAACUGUCCGAAAUACCUAACUACUAAAAAGCCAGAAAAUGGUAUGUUAUCCUAAAUUGAGUCAUGAUUAGUGAUUGACUCUACAAAUACCUGGAUAGUAGAUUUUAGAGUCACUAAUCAUAUUUGCAAUUUUUUUGUAGGGGUUCUAGGUAACCAAAGAGCUCAGUGAAGGAAAGUUCACUCUUAGAUGCUACAAUGGAAAGCUAGUGUGAUGUGAUCCAGGAGCCGCAAGCGUCAAGGUCAAGUCCAUCUUCAAGCCCGAAGAAAGAUCCGUUGAUAGUCGAAAGUGGUCCGAUGACUCAAGCGAGGAUGAAGCGAGUAAAAGAGGUGAUAAGAUUGCUUGUUCAAGAAACCAUUGAUGGAACGACGUUCAGGACGCAAAACGAGGCAGCUUUCAUGAUCGGGUCAACAGUCGAAUCAAAUUGGAUCAACUCAAUACAAGCUAACGAAAAUGGAAGCAAACUGAUCUACCAUGCGACUACAUCGUAGAAUGGGGCUUGCGAUCGCAUAGGGUGUGACAGGGCCAAUGCGAUCAUAGUUCAAGUGAACUAUGCGACCCCAUAGGUUUACACUAUGCGGUCGCAUAGUGUUAUUUUGGGGACAAAAUUUCCUUUGUUCGCGUUUCUUCAUAUUUUGUUAGAAUUUUAUUCCUAGUCAAAUUCUUAUGAUAUUAGAU